UUUACCCAAACCCACUAAGCCGGUUAUAAAACCCAAACCCCCACCUUUAUUUCCCAUUUAUUUUCCCAUUUUAUCUAAUCUCUCUCUCUCUCUCUUCGCGUAGUACGAUUCUAGGGUUUCCGACGGUUUAUUUCAUUUGAUUGAAAGAGGGUUUUCUUUGCUGUUUCCGGACAUAUUGAUUAAGCCAUUAGAAAGGGUUACUGCAAUUCCUCCAAUAAGCUCUUCCUCUCGGGUCCUCUUAUCGCCAUCUAAUAGAUUAUUUGAGCCUUUUUGUGAUCGGCCAUCUUGCUUCUCAAGAGCCAAUAUGGUAUAGAGUAGCGCUCAAGGCAACAAAUUAUGGUAUAGAGUAGCUCUAUUUUUUUAUUUAUUUUUUUGGUUCUUGGAAUUGCUAUUCUUUUUUAGGACAAAUUAAAAAGAAAAUGAUUCCUAUAAAUUGAUAUAAAUGGAGUACUGUAUUACUGGAUUAGUAUAUUCACAAAGGCACAUGAACAUGUCUCUUAGAUUAACUCAUAAAUAAUUGAUUAGAUCGGAUUAAAUUUCAACUUGAUAAACAUCUGAGUUACUGUAGCCAUCUCUUAUGCCUUCAUUUGCAAAUCAACCUGCUGGAUUUUCUUAGUUCCCUUUCUCUUAAAAGCCUUUCCAAUCUAGAUGGAACAAUAUAAUCAUAAUUAUACUUGAUUCCGGACGUUUGUAGGAUCUGUGUUUGAAUUGAAUUAGUAGAAAUCAUGAAACAUAUGAUGCAUUUAUUUAGUCACAAAGCAGACCAUCUUUAAAAAAAAUUAAUAUCACAACAUCUUUGUCAAAUGAGGCACUUAGGAACAAGAAUUAACCUUUUUCUGUCACUUAAAAGAAUGGACAAAUUUCAUAUUCACCAAACAGGACAAUGUGACAAGUUAUAGCAUAUUACAUCUCUUCACUUAAUAGUGAAACUCAUUAAACUAUAAGGAAACUAAUUUAAAGUUGUGAGCUUUAAUAAAUUUAUCAUUGCUUUCAUGGAAAAAUAAGGCUGGACUAAGUAAUGAGUAAUGAGACAAAUGCAGAAGGUUAACUGAGGACCCAAAUUAUCAUCCAAAAGUAGACCAGAAAUGGGAAAGGAGUUUUACACAAGGACCAAUUGUUAUAAAAAGAUUAAAGUUAAAAAUAAAGGAAAACGACUAAAAAAAAAAGAAAAAAAAAGGAAACAACAUACAAACCAAUGAUAAUUUGGGUCCUCAGUUAACCUUGUGCAUUUAUCUCAUUAGUCAUUACUCAUUACCUAGUUCAGCCUUAUUUUUCCAUCAAAGCAAUGAUGAAUUUAUUAAAGCUCACAACUUUAAGUUAGUUUCCUUAUAGUUUAAUGAGUUUCACUGUUAAGUGAAGAGACGUAAUAUGCUAUUACUUGUUACAUUGUCCUGUUUGGUGAAUAUGAAAUUUGUCAAUUCUUUUAAGUGAUAGAAAAAGAUUAAUUUUUGUUCAUAAGUGCCUCAUUUGACAGAGAUGUUGUGAUUUUUUUUUUUAAGAUGGCCUGCUUUGUGACUAAAUAAAUGCAUCACAUGUUUUAUGGUUUAAACUAAUUCAAUUCAAACACAGAUCCUACAAACGCAUGGAAUCAAGUAUAAUUAUGAUUAUGUUGUUCCAUCUAGAUUGGAAAGGCUUUUAAGAGAAAGGGAACUAAGAAAAUCUAGCAGGUUGAUUUGCAAAUGAAGGCAUAAGAGAUGGCUACAAUGACUCAGAUGUUUAUCAAGUUGAAAUUAAUCCGAUCUAAUCAAUUAUGUAUAAGUUAAUCUAAGAGAAAUGUUCAUGUGGCCUUUGUGAAUAUACUAAUCCAAUAAUACAGUACUCUAUUUCUAUCAAUUUAUAGGAAUCAUUUUUCUUUUUAAUUUGUCUCAAAAAGAAUAGUUAUUCCAAAAACCAAAAAAAAAAAAAAAAUAGAGCUACUCUAUACCAUAAUUUAUUGCCUUGAGAGCUACUCUAUGCCAUACUGGCUUUGAGAGGCAAGAUGGACGAUCACAAAAAGGCCCAAAGAAUGCAUCAUCUUCAACUGUUGCAAGUGAUGGCUGGUUGGAAGACGACUUCAACUUUGAUGCUGCAAUUGAAACUAUGACACAAGAAUCACAGCAAACAGUUGACUCUUCUCAAGCCACGACACAAAAAUCACAGCAAACAGUUGACUCUUCUCAAGCCACGACACAACAAUCACAGCAAACAGCUGACUCUUAUCAAGCCACGACACAACAAUCACAAGCCUAUGGUCCAGAUAUUGGCCAUGAGGAAGAUUCAAAGCUGAGGCCCAACAUUAUCUCUGAUUCACAGACAAGAAAGCUGCUAAUGAGGCUACCAAUUGGUACAAGAAGAAUUCAGUUUACUGAGGGUACAGAUGGAGUGUCAAUGCCCACAGACUUGCCUUAUUUACCAACUAAGAAUACUUGGUGAGGCAAUGCAGCACUUACGCAGAGCCAGCUUGAAGCUCAAGCAAGAAGAAAGAGGAUGAAGCUUGGAUCAAGAGGGAAAGCAGUUGUUGUACCAAAUUCUGAUAUCUAACAAGAUGUGUUGCUAGUUUUUGUGAUAGAUGGUUGUGUCAAAUGGUUGGUAUGGGGGUGGUUAUUUUUGUUAAAAUGUUUAAUGAUGGUUGAUGGACAACUUACUUUAGCUUAGUUUAACUUAGUUAAUGUGGAUGAUGGCUGUGGAAAACAAUUGAUUUUUGGUGAAUUCACUGUCACAUUUAUCAUGUCGACUGUUGACAUGUGAAUG